rnacentral:tRNA from 1 species
GGAGAGAUGCUCGAGUGGCUGAAGAGGCACGCCUGGAAAGCGUGUAUGCGCCAAAAGCGUAUCCGGGGUUCGAAUCCCCGUCUCUCCG